AUAUAUGUAAAAGCGCCUGAACUAAGUCUGAGACGACAGUGGCUUAGUUGACGAGGAGGAGGUUUAUCGAAGUAUCGGCGGAUGCCUCCCGGUUGUUGAUUAUCACAAUCGAAAGCUUAAUGUGAAAAACAAAGGGGUGACUCUUUGGACAAACGCAUUAAGAAGAUAAUCG
rnacentral:ncRNA from 2 species